GAACGGGCCAAAGCUGCAGAGAGAGAGGCUGAAGGUCGUCCCGCCCGCCUGGUGUCCUUAAGCAAUCCAAGUCCUCAGUCUCCCGGGUCGGCCCCUUCCGCCGCAGGCGGCAGCUUCCGGCUCGCGCAUGCGCAGUGUCCGCGGACUCGCCGCCAAUGCCCAAUAGUCUGGGACGAGGUCGGCACCCGUACACUCCCAUAACCCCUACGUGGAGUGUGGGGUCAGAAAACCCAGUAACCUGGAAUUUAGGCAAGAAAUGUAUAAUUUAAAAGACACAAUUGGAAAAACUGGUUAUUUUACCAAGGCUUUGACUGGAAUGGUGUGCUUUCCUUUGAGGAAUCAAAAUUUAUGAAGCCAAUAAAGCCCUUGGAAACUGGCCUCA